rnacentral:rRNA from 1 species
GAUGAACGCUGGCGGCGUGCCUAAUACAUGCAAGUCGAGCGAACAGACGAGGAGCUUGCUCCUCUGACGUUAGCGGCGGACGGGUGAGUAACACGUGAGUAACCUGCCCUUGACUUUGGGAUAACUUCAGGAAACUGGGGCUAAUACCGGAUAGGAGCUCCUGCUGCAUGGUGGGGGUUGGAAAGUUUCGGCGGUUGGGGAUGGACUCGCGGCUUAUCAGCUUGUUGGUGGGGUAGUGGCUUACCAAGGCUUUGACGGGUAGCCGGCCUGAGAGGGUGACCGGCCACAUUGGGACUGAGAUACGGCCCAGACUCCUACGGGAGGCAGCAGUGGGGAAUAUUGCACAAUGGGCGGAAGCCUGAUGCAGCAACGCCGCGUGCGGGAUGACGGCCUUCGGGUUGUAAACCGCUUUCGCCUGUGACGAAGCGUGAGUGACGGUAAUGGGUAAAGAAGCACCGGCUAACUACGUG